GAGACUGCCGGUGUUAAACCGGAGGAAGGUGGGAUGACGUCAAGUCCUCAUGGCCUUUACUGCUUAGGGCUACACACGUGCUACAAUGGGUGGUACAAAGAGAAGCCAACUCGCGAGAGCGGCGCCAAUCUCAAAAAGCCAUCCUCAGUUCGGAUUGGAGUCUGCAACUCGACUCCAUGAAGUUGGAAUCGCUAGUAAUCGCGGAUCAGCAUGCCGCGGUCGAAUACGUUCCCGGGCCUU
rnacentral:rRNA from 1 species